UUGUCAUCAGCUAUUCCAAUAUAUGUCCUCCCAACAUAAUGCCUUCGUGACACCUCUUCUCUACCGCCUUAUAUAGUCGUUUCGAACUUCAUCAUCUAACAAUUGAAUUGUUCCCUUUCUUUCUUCUACAGAUACAUGCGUUCUUCCUUUACACAUGUGUUCUUCAUCUACUUCUUAUUCUUCACAACUUACAAUGUUAUUCUAUUCCUCCAAAUUUGUGUCUUCCCUCUUCGAUUGAAGCUUCGAACCCUGAUGGCUUCGCAUGUAUGUCAACUUGUUUUUUUAUCCUUGCUUCGUCGGUUCUGGCUUACCUUUUGGGUUUGGAUCAGAAACGGUCUGCCUUAAAAGAAUGCCAUUCGAAUUUUGUUCCUUCCACUCGAUUUUUUGGCGCCGAUAAACUAGUGUAGAUGUGUGCAUCUCCAUCGUCACCCUUCCAGUCAGAAGAUUUUCAAGACACGUGGGCUAGAAACAUUCGAACAACGGUGGGAAAAAGAAGCAAAGGAGGGCACAAACUGCGUUGAUUUUACCAGGCUUCAAUUUGAACUCCGUGUAAGCAUUUAUUUAUUACUUCUAAUUUUUUAUAUUAGAAAAGACGUCAUGCUACACUUUUACUGAUAGCUGAUAAGCUUUUGCUCAAGAUCAUAUUUAGUCGAUUAAGUGAUUAUCUAGUUUAGUUAUGCAACAAAAUGGGAAUCUGAUUGUAUUUGGUUUUAUUUUCGUUAUUAUCAAUUCUUCUAUGUAAAAGGAAGAAUCUAAAAUGAGAUUAUGGUUGUUGGCAUUCAAUCAGGGAUUGUAAGUUUUAAACUGUAUUUGAAGAACUAAAUAUUUGGGUCUA